rnacentral:rRNA from 1 species
UACGUAGGGGGCAAGCGUUGUUCGGAUUCAUUGGGCGUAAAGGGUGCGUAGGCGGCGCGGUAAGUCGGGUGUGAAAUCUCGGAGCUUAACUCCGAAACUGCAUUCGAUACUGCCGUGCUUGAGGACUGGAGAGGAGACUGGAAUUUACGGUGUAGCGGUGAAAUGCGUAGAUAUCGUAAGGAAGACCAGUGGCGAAGGCGGGUCUCUGGACAGUUCCUAACGCUGAGGCACGAAGGCCAGGGGAGCAAACGGG